CCUACGGGAGGCAGCAGUGAGGAAUAUUGGUCAAUGGGAGAGAUCCUGAACCAGCCAAGCCGCGUGAGGGAAGACGGCCCUAUGGGUUGUAAACCUCUUUUGUCGGAGAACAAAACCCGGGACGUGUCCCGUACUGCGUGUAUCCGAAGAAAAAGCAUCGGCUAACUCCGUGCCAGCAGCCGCGGUAAUACGGAGGAUGCGAGCGUUAUCCGGAUUUAUUGGGGUUAAAGGGUGCGUAGGCGGUCCGUUAAGGCUGCGGUAAAAUUGCGGGGCUCAACCCCGGCGAGCCGUUGAAACUGGCAGACUUGAGUUGGCGAGAAGUACGCGGAAUGCGCGGUGUAGCGGUGAAAUGCAUAGAUAUCGCGCAGAACUCCGAUUGCGAAGGCAGCGUACCGGCGCCAGACUGACGCUGAGGCACGAAAGCGUGGGGAUCGAACAGGAUUAGAUACCCGUGUAGUC
rnacentral:rRNA from 1 species